UACGGGGGGGGCAAGCGUUGUUCGGAAUUACUGGGCGUAAAGGGCCAGUAGGCGGCCAACUAAGUCCGACGUGAAAUCCCAAGGCUUAACCUUGGAACUGCGUCGGAUACUGGAUGGCUUGAAUUCGGGAGAGGGAUGCAGAAUUCCAGGUGUAGCGGUGAAAUGCGUAGAUAUCGGGAGGAACACCAGUGGCGAAGGCGAGUCUCUGGGCUGUAUCUGACGCUGAUGCGCGAAAGCUAGGGGAGCGAACGGG
rnacentral:rRNA from 1 species